AGAGGGAGCUGUGGUUCUUCUGAGACAUGCCUAGUUCUGUCUGAAUUAGCUUCCCCAGCCAAGCUUUCCGAUCACUUGUCUGCUCCCCCCUCCGCCCCAUUCUUUCUCUCUCUUGUCUCUCGCACUCACUUACUCUUCCAUCUUUUGCCACUGUGCCAGAUAAAUUUAAAUGUAUCUGUUCAAGUGAAGAUAAUCCAUGCAAAUCAGAGCCACUGGCUCCCAAGUGCUCGAUUCACAAAGAGAGCGGUGCUUCAGGAGGUCACUCGUUCACAGCUGCUCCUCCCAUUAUAUUUUUCCCCCUUACAGCAGAAUUGCUGCUUGUAUACAGUGACUGAAAGGACUCAAUUUACUGCAACUGCUGCCUGGUUUUCCUUACAACUUUCUUUUAAAGAGGGACAUACCUUCCAGCUAUCUUGCCAAGAAAGAUGGACAACCUGUUAGAACAUCUCAUCAUCUGGUGUGGACAGACAAUUAUGGAGUUGAAAACAGGGUACGUGAGCCAUAUCUGGCUUUCAAGUAAUAUGCAUUCAGACUUCAAGCAUUGAAUUCUUCCUGUGAUUUCCUGUUUAAGGAUUCUAUUCUCAAUGUAUGUGGUGAAUAAAAACUCCAAACUUCGUCAUUGUAAACUAUCAUUAUAGGAACAAACCAGAAUGAGCUUCUUUCUCCUUCUCCCUUAUGUUGUGGUACUCAGAAGACAACUCGGAGUUUUCUGUUUUGCUUGUGAUUAAUCAUAGUUUGAUGUGAUAUCUUAGCUGGGUAAACUGUGUUACAUAUUCCUUUUUUAAAACAACCCAGUGUUAAAUCAUGGUAAUCUAUCUUGUUUCAAUGAACCAAUCUGGCUUGUUUCUUGAAGCCAAUUCCUUUAAUUAUAAGCCAUAGUUUACAGCUAUGUCAAGUCACAACUGGUAUAUUUUUAAAAAGAAAUCCCAAAGUUAAUUUUGAAAUUAGACUUUGUUCUUGAAAAGACUUUUCCUUGAUCAGCCACCAGUGAGAAGUACACAAUAAUGAACAAGAUGGAGCAGUGAUGCUAUUUUCAUGGUUGUCAAAUACAGCUCAGUAUAGAUGUGGGGACAUCAAUAGCUUUGAUUUUGAAACCUGCAACAUUAUGUUGUCUGCCAUGUUUAUACUACCCUCCUUUUCACAUUUAGUGUGCUACCACUGUGAAACCUCAAGGUGACAAUAUUGUUUGUUAACACAGCUGCCAUUUAAAGUUUGGAUUCACUUCUAUUUCUGUACUUGUUCCAAUGUUGUUCAGACAAACCAAAUGGAAUCUAAUCUUGAGAUAGUACUUUGAAUGGACAUGGGAUGUUCAUAAAUCUUUAUCCAUCUUCUUCACCAAUCUUUUCAUGCUGCUGUUUUCAUGUGUAGUGGCUGUAUAAAAAAGAAUGAAGUCUUUGAGUCUGUGUGAAUGAAUGAUUUUGUUAUGCACUGUGCCAUUCCUUUGUGAUUAACCCAUGAGAUAUGAAGAACUGUAAGGAAAAUCAGAAAAAAUUUGGGAAGUCUUGGGUUUUUUAAAAAAAAAUCCUGAAGAUUUCCUCCCCUGCAAAAAUUGAAGGAAAUAAUUAUGAAAUGUUUUCCUUUAGGAUGAUAGUUUAUUUCUAGAAAUGAGAUAGAAAAUCUAUUGUAAGCCUAUGUAAAAUAUCACAUCCUUGGUUUUGGUUUUAUUUUUCUCACCAGUUCUUUUAUGGCAAAGGGUGGUUUAAAGCUGCUUGACACUGUGGGAGACUAGAGGAGACUAAUGUUUGUGGUUUACUCUGUGUUUAUUUGUUUAUUUAUGGCCUUGUUGUCAUCAGCUAUAAAAGCCAAAGAGGUUCCUUAGAGUUCAGGACCUUGUGCUCAAUUUGGAACAAAAAAAAUGUAAAUAUCUUACUUAACUUCAGGCCUAAAUUUUGUUGGUUCAUCCUAACCAAAGUAGAUCCAGUGAAUCAAUGGUUUAAGAGAGAUCUUGAGUCCCUAUAUCAGAAAAAAGCAAGAUACAAAUCAAGUAAAUAAAUAGUGAGUCAACACAUAGGUAUAUCUCAUUAAUUCAAUGAGACUACUCUAGUUGGGUGUGUCAGCGUGGAGGGUCAGGGUGCGUGCUGGGUGGGUUUCUUCAAACUCCAUAAAUCAUCUGCUCCAGCACCCUGAUGAAUUGGUUGCAAUCGUCUGCCACACCAAUUCCUCUGUUCAAUGUCAGACUCAAACACAUCAGUAGUCUGAAGUCCAAACAUUUAUUCAAUAACUAUAAACAUAUUUACAAAACACAGCAAAAGCCAUCGCGCUGAGCUAGCAUUUCUUCUCUAGCCUCUUCGCUCCGGCUAGAUCACACAGCUCAACACUCUCAGAGAUAAGAAAACACAUUCCUCAGUCCGAAGGAAGUCCCCGACCUCCAAGGCCAGAAAUCAUGCCUGAUAGGUCAUAGCAGGCUGUCAGUCAAAACUAGCCUGCUGUUAACGGUUUCAUUGCUGAAACACACACUCUUGCCUAACAGCAGAAAACACUUGAUUUACAUUUCAUACACAUACAACCAUAAUCCAACAGGAUGUACCAACAAGAAUAAGGCCACUAUUUGGAUAAUUUCUUAAAUAAAAUUAUACGUGAUACAUCAUAUGUUCAUAUAGUGAUAAAGUGACUUUCAAUAGUAAAAGCUCCUGUCCUAUAUACUAAUGUAUAUAUCUAGAAAUUUUAGUCAGUAAUUCAAAACAGAAAAACUAGGUUGACGUAUUAAUAAGUCAGUGUGAAUAUUGUAUCAUAAUUCUUAUAUGAUUCUUAUAUAAGAAAAGGAACGAUCAUUGAGUAACAAAAUGCAAAAGCUUAGUGCACCCCAGGAGAACCUAAAUGAAUCAUUGACACCCUCUACUUUCUCUGCUGUGACUCCAUUUUUGAAUGUCUGGAUGAGGAUAAGGCAAAGGCAGCCUGGGAUGGCUGGCCACAUGUGGCAGCAUUGGUGCUUUCCCCUCUUAGCAUAAUGAUCAUCGACUUUUUCAUGAGUCAUAUCAAUAUACAUAAUUUUUGGCCCUAAAAUCUGCUUUUGACUUAUACUUGAGGUAAACGUAUACAUUAUAUGAGGCAACAUCAAAUUCCCUCGUCCAUACCCCCAUCAAUAAAAUAAAAUCAGUGAAAAAAUGUGUUUCUAAAAUGUCUUCAAUGUCUCCAGAAAUUAUACAGCUAAAGCUAUCCUAUGAUUGCUGUUUUCUAACAUCGUGGUCCUAGAAUUGUGUACUUAUUGAGCUCCUUCCUUAACACAAGUGUAACACAGGGGAAUGAAAAGACCCAGGCAAUAUACAGUUGAAAGAUGAGAUUGCAUUUCUCAUACUGUACUUUGGUCAUUUGAUGACAUAUUUGACUUUAAAAUGUAUUUAUUUGUUGAAUGCAUAUCAUACCUUGCCUUUCUCUUGGGAAUGCAUCCAAGGAGGCCAUAUCCAAAAUAAUAGCAACUGCUUUGUUCAACUAACACAGGACAACACAUGACAUGGUUUCUUAAGGGAUUAUUAUGUGCCAGGCAUUGAAGUUUUAAGUCCUUCAUGGCCGACUCUUCCCUCCAUCUGUGUAGACAGUCUUUCAAAACUAGGGAUUAUAUUUUUCUCCAAGAUCAUUUCUAUGAUUCUAUGAGUCUGUGAAUGUGGAUAUUUACUUUCAAAUUAUUAUUCAAACUCUAUGGAAUAGUUUUCCCUGGAAUGUAUGUUUUGGGCAGAUUUCAUGUUGGCUAAUCUUGGAUGAUGAGAAAAUUUGUGGUUGGCUUAUGAUGUCAUGAUGGUCUGUCAUAAUGCACAUCUGACCACCUCUUAGGGGUGUCAUAUACAUUUGUGAAUCAGUGCUGACAUAAGCAAAUAGGGUUUCUCUACCUGGAUGAUACCCUGAUUUAUUUAUUAAUUUAAUUUAUAUACCGCUUUUCUCCCCCAGCAUACAGUAUUUAUGAGAGGAAGUGAGACUAACUAGCACAUCAAAUUAUUGUGUGCUUUUACCAUUUAAGAGAAUUUGGGAUUUACUUUCCUGUAGUUCUGGCCAACUGUAUAUGGUCUACCUUUUUGCAAAAACCCGUUUUGUCAGGAGGAAGGUAACUUUUGAUUGCUUUGCUCAGAUACAUGUGCAUAUAUAUGGAACAGCUAAAAGUAAAUAAUGAAAAAGCGUACAAAAUAAUAUUUUUAGGUAUAGAAUUUAGUUUUAAAUAAUUCCUAUCAAAAAUGGGGAAAGCAAGUACAUGGCUCUGGUUCUUAAGAUUUCAAGAUCAAGGUGUAGCAAUCAUCAUCAUCAUCAUCAUCAUUUUAUUUCUUACCCGCUUCUCCUCAUGGCUUGAGGCAGGUUACAAAACAAUUAAAACAGCAAAAACACUACAAAUGCACACACUAAAACAUACCUCCAUAUAGAUACCAAAUGUAUCUCUAUGAAAUACAUAUUAAAACAGAAAAAAACAGAGAUUAUACAAAGGACAUUCAUGUUUAUGUUUGUAUGGGUAGGCCUGCUGGAAGAGACAGGUCUUUACUUGUGUCUUAUAUUCCGACAGCUCAUUUAGCU
ensembl:lncRNA